CUUAGACACUGAGGGAAACAACCUCUUGGGUGACAUGUGCAUGACUAAGCAGAGAAGGAGGGAGAAACCUUGAAGUAGAAAUGGCCUGUUGCUGAGGGGGGUCUUGGAAGGAAGCUGGAGAGAAAGAGUCUAAAAUUAAAGAUGGAACCUGAUAGCAGAGAGCAACUCUUCCAGGAAUGGCUCAGCCCAGUCCACUCAAAUCCACCUUGUAGCAAAAUCUGUCCAAGGUGUGAAGCAGGAGGAAGAAAUAUACCCCUGGGCUGGGACAGUGACAUCACAGGCCAACCACCAACCAAGACCAAGCAGACCAGAGCCCAGCCCCUGCCCAGGACACCCUAGUUAGAUGAUCCUCACCUUGACCCUGCCUCUACCAUGGACUGCAGGCUGCUCUGCUGUGUGGCUCUCUGUCUCCUGGAAGCAGUCCCCGUGGACACUGCGAUUACCCAGACACCAAGACACCUGGUCACAGCGACAGGGAGUAACGGGACCCUCAAGUGCGAACAACGUCUAGGACAUAAUGCUAUGUACUGGUAUAAACAGAGCGCUCAGAACCCACCGACACUCUUGUUUGCCUACAACUAUGAGAAACUUGUUGAAAAUGACAGUGUCCCCAGUCGCUUUGCACCUGAAUGCCCAGACAGCUCGCACCUGCACCUUCAGGUGGCCGCCCUGCAGCCAGAUGACUCCGCCGUGUAUCUCUGUGCUAGCAGCCAGGACACAGCCCUGCACAGCCAACUGCUCCCUGUGCACAAACCUCCUGGUGCAGCCAGGGAGCUGUGGGGACGACCGCGACUCAGCUCAGCGUCUCUGGUGGGACCCCAGACGGAAAUCUCAGACCAUAACGCUGCCUGUCAGUUGGCUGGGUGCAGCGAUGCCCAGUUCCCUGCACAGACGUCCACAGCCUGUGGCCUGGCUCUGCCCUGGCCAGUCUGUGUCUGCAGCUGA